rnacentral:rRNA from 1 species
AUUGAACGCUGGCGGCAUGCUUUACACAUGCAAGUCGAACGGUAACAGGCCGCAAGGUGCUGACGAGUGGCGAACGGGUGAGUAAUGCAUCGGAACGUGCCCAGUCGUGGGGGAUAACUACUCGAAAGAGUAGCUAAUACCGCAUACGAUCUAUGGAUGGAAGCGGGGGACCGUAAGGCCUCGCGCGAUUGGAGCGGCCGAUGUCAGAUUAGGUAGUUGGUGGGGUAAAGGCUCACCAAGCCAACGAUCUGUAGCUGGUCUGAGAGGACGACCAGCCACACUGGGACUGAGACACGGCCCAGACUCCUACGGGAGGCAGCAGUGGGGAAUUUUGGACAAUGGGCGCAAGCCUGAUCCAGCAAUGCCGCGUGCAGGAAGAAGGCCUUCGGGUUGUAAACUGCUUUUGUACGGAACGAAACGGCUCUGGUUAGUACCCGGGGCUAAUGACGGUACCGUAAGAAUAAGCACCGGCUAACUACGUG